UACUUUUGCAGCGCUUUUGGUUUCCGGCUUUACACCCGGAAUUAAAAGGGAAUACAGUGUAAAUCUGUAACUGUCCCGCAGCUGUAAGCUCCUUAACGGAUUUCCAAUCAAUCUGCCACUGUUCCGACUCGUCGGGAUGGGAAGGCCGGAAACCCGGGAGUAAGUCAGAAGACCUGCCUUAGCAUUAUAUUUCAUA
rnacentral:ncRNA from 18 species